rnacentral:tmRNA from 1 species
GGGGAUGCCUGGCUUCGACAGGGGACGAUGUCGUGGGUUGCAAGCCGAGCCGCCCAGUCUCGUAAAAGGGGCACCGGCAUAACUGCCAAAAACACAACUCGCGUCAACGCUCCGGCGUUCGCGAUGGCUGCCUAGUGUAGCCCGCUCUCCUAGACUCAGCCCUGCGGAAUAGGAAGAGCGACAACAGCGGGGAUGCUCCCAGCGGAUCGCCUGCUAAGUUGGGAAAAGAUAAGUGGGCUGGCUCAAAAGCCGCUUUGUCUGCGGUGUGGCUUCGAGCGACAUUAAACAACAGACUACGCUUGUAGAUGCCUGCGUCUAAAUCUUCUGGACGGGGGUUCGAUUCCCCCCAUCUCCAUAC